rnacentral:rRNA from 1 species
CACGUAGGGCGCAAGCGUUGUCCGGAAUUAUUGGGCGUAAAGAGCUCGUAGGCGGACUGUCACGUCUGCUGUGAAAACCCGGGGCUUAACCCCUGGCUUGCAGUGGAUACGGACAGACUAGAGGUAGGUAGGGGAGAAUGGAAUUCCCGGUGUAGCGGUGAAAUGCGCAGAUAUCGGGAGGAACACCGGUGGCGAAGGCGGGUCUCUGGGCCGAUACUGACGCUGAGGAGCGAAAGCGUGGGGAGCGAACAGG